UCCCAUGCGGUCUAGUGGUUAGGCUUUCACCGAGGCGGCCCGGGUUCGAUUCCCGGCUUGGGAA